GAUCCUGGCUCAGGAUGAACGCUGGCGGCGUGCUUAACACAUGCAAGUCGAACGAAGCACUUGAGAUUGAUUCUUCGGAAGAUUUCUCUUGUGACUUAGUGGCGGACGGGUGAGUAACGCGUGGGUAACCUGCCUCACACAGGGGGAUAACAGUUGGAAACGACCGCUAAUACCGCAUAACCCGCUAGGGCCGCAUGGCCCGGACGGAAAAGAUUUAUCGGUGUGAGACGGACCCGCGUUGGAUUAGCUAGUUGG
rnacentral:rRNA from 1 species